AGUAGAUCCAAAUGAUUUGUACAUUGUAGAACCUCUUAAGUUCUCUCCAGAAAAAAAGAAGAAACGCUGCAAGUACAAAAUUGAAAAAAUUGAGACCAUAAAGUCUGCAGAUCCAUUGCACCCUAUAGCCAAUGGAGACAUAAAAGGAAGGAAGCCCUUUACGAACCAGAGAGAUUUUUCUAAUAUGGGGGAAGUGUAUCACUCUUCUUAUAAGGGUCCUCCAUCUGAAGGAAGCUCAGAAACUUCAUCACAGUCAGAAGAGUCCUAUUUUUGUGGCAUUUCAGCUUGCACAAGUCUGUGCAAUGGACAGUCUCAAAAGACAAAAACUGAGAAGAGGGCCUUAAAACGAAGGCGAUCUAAAGUCCAAGACCAAGGAAAAUUGAUAAAAACUCUAAUACAGACUAAGUCGGGAUCAUUGCCGAGUCUUCAUGACAUAAUCAAAGGAAACAAAGAGAUCACCGUGGGAACAUUUGGUGUUACAGCAGUCUCGGGACAUACCUAAAAUUAAUUGAACUUUUCAUACUGGAGACUUUUUUUGUUCUUUGAAGAACAGUCUGUGGUAUUUGAAGGGUUUGGGGAGGGAGAAAAUGGGAAAAGUAUUCAGAAAUUAUGGUUUCUGCCUUUUUAAAAAGUAGAUGGGAUUGUGUCAAUCUUGAUUAAUGAGCUGCAGUUUUACAAGGCUGAUCACUUCCUACAAGGACAAUGGUAGACAUUUUAUAAAGAUGUUUUUUCACAUAUUAAUCACUGGGACAAAAGUAAUUUGGAAGCCCAGUUCCUUGGGUGGGAUAGGAAUGAAAGCCUAAACCUCUUCCUUUAGCUUUGUUCCUAUUUCUUGCACCUUCCCAUAUUUAUGUGCCUUUUGUCUAUUUAUAAUGCCACUGGAAGAGGAGGGAGAACCUUUUCUGUCAUUUGAUUUCUUUUAUAACUUUGUUAGGUUUUUGAAGCUGCAAACACUACAAGGCUUUUAAGGUGGUCUGUGCCUGAAGCUCGGCAAUGUGGGUCAGACAGUGUAAAAAUCCUAAAGACUUGCCAACUAGAUCUCUGUUUAGCAAACUCAUUGGAAAUAAACACUUGCUGGAUUUUUAAAUUCUGUUCUUUUAGGUUUAGGUAAAUGGUGAUGCUGUUUAUCUUAUUUUCAUCUAACUUAUUCAGACUUUUUCCUUAGUUACUAACUCAAUGAGGGAAAAAAAGACCAACUAUAAGGUUUUUUUUUUUUUUUUGCAAAUAACUGGUAUUUGCAAACAAAUUUUUGAUAAAUUCACCUUUGAAACACAUUUCACCAUUUGUAAAGGUUUUCUUUAGCUACAUUACAUUUUAAAAGUUCACAGUAAACACUAAUCUUCCAAGGUUUCAUAUCACAGUUUUCUAUUACUACAAAUAUAAAAUUUGAAGAUUUAGCAAAUGAGCCAGGUCUCAUAUGAUGUAAUCACUGCCUAUGUACCUAUACACAGAUCCAGCUAGUGAGUUUGUCAAGCCUUGUCUAAUUGGUUAAGUCUAAAAGAUCACUAUUCCUUGAUGUUUGCUUUGUAUUGGCUACAAAUGUGCAGAGGUAUACAUGCGUGAUGUCAAUGUGUCUGUCUUCAUUUGUGUUUUUUUCUUUAAAAAAUAAUUAGCAAUGACUGUAUUUGAAUUAAAUGAUUUCUCAGUGUGUGAUUGUACAGUAAUGAGUGAAAGUGGAACAUGUUUCUUUUUGAAAGUGAGAGAAUUGACCAUUUUGUGUUGUGAGAUUUAAGUUAUAACUUAUUGAGCACUUUUAGUAAUAACUUUUUUAAACAUGUCUAAUACCUUUCUUGGGUAUUAUUUGUAAUGUGACUUAUUUAAAGCCUUUUUUGUUUGUUUAAGUUGCUGCUUUAGGUUAACAGUAUGUUUUAGAAGAUUCAACUUUUUUUCCAUUCUGCACAAUUAGCCAUUCAGAGCAAGAGGGCCUGAUUGUAUAGAAGCCCCUUGAAAAGAGGUCCAGAUGAGAGCAGAUGUAGAGCGGGAAGUUACGUGAUCUGUGUGUUGUGGAAAGAGGACUUUCAGUGUGUAACUACAGAGCUGUAGUGCCAUUAGAAACUGUGAAUUUCCAAAUAAAUCCGAACACUUGUCUUUAUUAA